CAGUUCCUGCUGUGUCCGUGAUCAAGCCGUUGAUGGUAUGCGCCAACACCAUCACAUCGGGAUCCGGACUCUGAAUGCCAAGGGCAGGCCCCCCCUGCCUGGGGAAGCCCGCACGGUUUUCAGGAGGAGCCCACCUGCCGAGCGCAGGUGCAAACCGAACGGCACCUAACGGCACGGCGGGGCUGC
rnacentral:other from 1 species